rnacentral:rRNA from 1 species
GCCGUAGCGAAAGCGAGUUUUAACUGAGCGUUCAGUUACUUGACGUAGACCCGAAACCGGGCGACCUACCCAGGAGCAGGAUGAAGCGAAAGUAAAAUUUCGUGGAGGUCCGAACCCACGAGCGUUGAAAAGCUCGGGGAUGACUUGUGGGUAGCGGUGAAAUUCCAAUCGAGCCCGGAGAUAGCUGGUUCUCCCCGAAAUAGCUUUAGGGCUAGCCUCAAGGUGAGAGAUACGGAGGUAGAGCACUGAAUGUCCUAGGGGGUAUUGCACCUACCGAAGACUAUCAAACUCCGAAUGCCGUCAUCUUAUACUUGGGAGUCAGACUGUGGGUGAUAAGAUUCAUAG